rfam:Picea glauca, whole genome shotgun sequence.
AUAAAGGAUGUAUUUACAUCCAUCCAAUGUAGUUUUCAAAUCAUGG